UACAGGGGGGCAAGGCGUUGUUCGGAAUUACUGGCGUAAAGGGCCAGUAGGCGGCCAACUAAGUCCGACGUGAAAUCCCCAGGCUUAACCUGGGAACUGCAUCCGAUACUGGAUGGCUUGAAUCCGGGAGAGGGAUGCAGAAUUCCAGGUGUAGCGGUGAAAUGCGUAGAUAUCUGGAGGAAUACCGGUGGCGAAGGCGGCAUCCUGGACCGGCAUUGACGCUGAUGAGCGAAAGCUAGGGGAGCAAACGGG
rnacentral:rRNA from 1 species